rnacentral:rRNA from 1 species
AGAGUUUGAGAGUUUGAUCCUGGCUCAGAUUGAACGCUGGCGGAAUGCCUUACACAUGCAAGUCGAACGGCAGCACGGGAGCUUGCUCCUGGUGGCGAGUGGCGAACGGGUGAGUAAUGCGUCGGAACGUAUCCAUUAAUGGGGGAUAACGCAGCGAAAGCUGUGCUAAUACCGCAUACGCCCCGAGGGGGAAAGCAGGGGAUCUUCGGACCUUGCGUUAUUGGAGCGGCCGACGUCUGAUUGGCUAGUUGGUGAGGUAAAGGCUCACCAAGGCGACGAUCAGUAGCUGGUCUGAGAGGAUGAUCAGCCACACUGGAACUGAGACACGGUCCAGACUCCUACGGGAGGCAGCAGUGGGGAAUUUUGGACAAUGGGCGCAAGCCUGAUCCAGCCAUUCCGCGUGAGUGAAGAAGGCCUUCGGGUUGUAAAGCUCUUUCGGCAGGGAAGAAACAGUUGAGGCUAAUACCCUUGACCAAUGACGGUACCUGCAUAAGAAGCCCCGGCUAACUUCGUGCCAGCAGCCGCGGUAAUACGUAGGGUGCGAGCGUUAAUCGGAAUUACUGGGCGUAAAGCGUGCGCAGGCGGAUUGUUAAGCAAGACGUGAAAUCCCCGGGCUUAACCUGGGAAUGGCGUUUUGAACUGGCAGUCUAGAGUGUGUCAGAGGGGGGUGGAAUUCCACGUGUAGCAGUGAAAUGCGUAGAGAUGUGGAGGAACACCAAUGGCGAAGGCAGCCCCCUGGGAUAACACUGACGCUCAUGUACGAAAGCGUGGGUAGCAAACAGGAUUAGAUACCCUGGUAGUCC